rnacentral:rRNA from 1 species
UUAAGCGAACAAGCGUACACGGUGGAUGCCCUGGCAGUCAGAGGCGAUGAAGGACGUGCUAAUCUGCGAAAAGCGCCGGUAAGGUGAUAUGAACCGUUAUAACCGGCGAUGUCCGAAUGGGGAAACCCGGUGCACUUCGGUGCAUCAUCGUUAGCUGAAUACAUAGGCUAACGAGGCGAACCGGGGGAACUGAAACAUCUAAGUACCCCGAGGAAAAGAAAUCAACCGAGAUUCCCCCAGUAGCGGCGAGCGAACGGGGAACAGCCCAGAGCCUGAAUCAGCUUGUGUGUCAGUGGAACGGUCUGGAAAGGCCGGCGAUACAGGGUGACAGCCCCGUACACGAAGGCACACAGGCUGUGAGCUCGAUGAGUAGGGCGGGACACGUGAUAUCCUGUCUGAAGAUGGGGGGACCAUCCUCCAAGGCUAAAUACUCCUGACUGACCGAUAGUGAACCAGUACCGUGAGGGAAAGGCGAAAAGAACCCCGGCGAGGGGAGUGAAACAGAACCUGAAACCGUGUACGUACAAGCAGUGGGAGCCUUCGUAAGAGGGUGACUGCGUACCUUUUGUAUAAUGGGUCAGCGACUUAUAUUCUGUAGCAAGGUUAACCGUAUAGGGGAGCCGAAGGGAAACCGAGUCUUAACCGGGCGUUAAGUUGCAGGGUAUAGACCCGAAACCCGGUGAUCUAGCCAUGGGCAGGUUGAAGGUUGGGUAACACUAACUGGAGGACCGAACCGACUAAUGUUGAAAAAUUAGCGGAUGACCUGUGGCUGGGGGUGAAAGGCCAAUCAAACCGGGAGAUAGCUGGUUCUCCCCGAAAGCUAUUUAGGUAGCGCCUCGUGAACUCAUCUCCGGGGGUAGAGCACUGUUUCGGCUAGGGGGCCAUCCCGGCUUACCAACCCGAUGCAAACUGCGAAUACCGGAGAAUGUUAUCACGGGAGACACACGGCGGGUGCUAACGUCCGUCGUGAAGAGGGAAACAACCCAGACCGCCAGCUAAGGUCCCAAAGUCAUGGUUAAGUGGGAAACGAUGUGGGAAGGCCCAGACAGCCAGGAUGUUGGCUUAGAAGCAGCCAUCAUUUAAAGAAAGCGUAAUAGCUCACUGGUCGAGUCGGCCUGCGCGGAAGAUGUAACGGGGCUAAACCAUGCACCGAAGCUGCGGCAGCGACACUAUGUGUUGUUGGGUAGGGGAGCGUUCUGUAAGCCUGCGAAGGUGUGCUGUGAGGCAUGCUGGAGGUAUCAGAAGUGCGAAUGCUGACAUAAGUAACGAUAAAGCGGGUGAAAAGCCCGCUCGCCGGAAGACCAAGGGUUCCUGUCCAACGUUAAUCGGGGCAGGGUGAGUCGACCCCUAAGGCGAGGCCGAAAGGCGUAGUCGAUGGGAAACAGGUUAAUAUUCCUGUACUUGGUGUUACUGCGAAGGGGGGACGGAGAAGGCUAUGUCGGCCGGGCGACGGUUGUCCCGGUUUAAGCGUGUAGGCUGACUUUCCAGGCAAAUCCGGAAAGUUAAGGCUGAGGCGUGAUGACGAGGCACUACGGUGCUGAAGUGACAAAUGCCCUGCUUCCAGGAAAAGCCUCUAAGCAUCAGGUAACAUCAAAUCGUACCCCAAACCGACACAGGUGGUCAGGUAGAGAAUACCAAGGCGCUUGAGAGAACUCGGGUGAAGGAACUAGGCAAAAUGGUGCCGUAACUUCGGGAGAAGGCACGCUGACAUGUAGGUGAAGCCCCUGCGGGUGGAGCUGAAGUCAGUCGAAGAUACCAGCUGGCUGCAACUGUUUAUUAAAAACACAGCACUGUGCAAACACGAAAGUGGACGUAUACGGUGUGACGCCUGCCCGGUGCCGGAAGGUUAAUUGAUGGGGUUAUCGCAAGAGAAGCUCCUGAUCGAAGCCCCGGUAAACGGCGGCCGUAACUAUAACGGUCCUAAGGUAGCGAAAUUCCUUGUCGGGUAAGUUCCGACCUGCACGAAUGGCGUAAUGAUGGCCAGGCUGUCUCCACCCGAGACUCAGUGAAAUUGAACUCGCUGUGAAGAUGCAGUGUACCCGCGGCAAGACGGAAAGACCCCGUGAACCUUUACUACAGCUUGACACUGAACAUUGAGCCUUGAUGUGUAGGAUAGGUGGGAGGCUUUGAAGCGUGGACGCCAGUCUGCGUGGAGCCGACCUUGAAAUACCACCCUUUAAUGUUUGAUGUUCUAACCUGGCGCCGUGAUCCGGCGUGGGGACAGUGUCUGGUGGGUAGUUUGACUGGGGCGGUCUCCUCCCAAAGUGUAACGGAGGAGCACGAAGGUCAGCUAAUCCUGGUCGGACAUCAGGAGGUUAGUGCAAUGGCAUAAGCUGGCUUGACUGCGAGAGUGACGGCUCGAGCAGGUGCGAAAGCAGGUCAUAGUGAUCCGGUGGUUCUGUAUGGAAGGGCCAUCGCUCAACGGAUAAAAGGUACUCCGGGGAUAACAGGCUGAUACCGCCCAAGAGUUCAUAUCGACGGCGGUGUUUGGCACCUCGAUGUCGGCUCAUCACAUCCUGGGGCUGAAGUAGGUCCCAAGGGUAUGGCUGUUCGCCAUUUAAAGUGGUACGCGAGCUGGGUUUAGAACGUCGUGAGACAGUUCGGUCCCUAUCUGCCGUGGGCGCUGGAGAAUUGAGGGGGGCUGCUCCCAGUACGAGAGGACCGGAGUGGACGCAUCACUGGUGUUCGGGUUGUCAUGCCAAUGGCACUGCCCGGUAGCUAAAUGCGGAAGAGAUAAGUGCUGAAAGCAUCUAAGCACGAAACUUGCCCCGAGAUGAGUUCUCCCUGACUCCUUGAGAGUCCUGAAGGAACGUUGAAGACGACGACGUUGAUAGGCCGGGUGUGUAAGCGCAGCGAUGCGUUGAGCUAACCGGUACUAAUGAACCGUGAGGCUUAACCUU